ensembl:lncRNA
AGUUAUCACCUGGACCAUGUUAUGAUCUAUAAGGUAUCAGACCAUGUUAUGAUCUAUAAGUUAUCACCUGGACCAUGUUAUGAUCUAUAAGUUAUCACCAGGACCAUGUUAUGAUCUAUAAGUUAUCACCAGGACCAUGUUAUGAUCUAUAAGUUAUCACCAGGACCAUGUUAUGAUCUAUAAGUUAUCACCAGGACCAUGUUAUGAUCUAUAAGUUAUCACCAGGACCAUGUUAUGAUCUAUAAGUUAUCACCAGGACCAUGUUAUGAUCUAUAAGGUAUCAGACCAUGUUAUGAUCUAUAAGGUAUCACCAGGACCAUGUUAUGAUCUAUAAGUUAUCAGACCAUGAAAUAUAGGUGGUCAUGGUCCCUCUCCUCUCCUCUCCUCUCCUC